rnacentral:lncRNA from 1 species
GGCAGUUUAAAAAAAUGCAACUAUAUACAAGUUCAUCAAUUCCAGAUGUAAAGUCAAUAGCAAUUCAAGUGAUGACCACAGCAGUAACCUGGAGACCUGCAGUCUCAAUGUAUCAGAUCACAACUUAAAAAUAUCUCCCAAAGUAAAACACCAAGUACAAACCCCAGGUAAAUGACGGUCCUGAGGAACAGAUGUCAGGACAUCAGAUGUGAAGUUAAAGGAUCCAUCUAAAGACUAUCUGU